UACGUAGGGUGCAGGCGUUAAUCGGAAUUACUGGGCGUAAAGCGUGCGCAGGCGGUUAUGUAAGACAGAUGUGAAAUGCCCGGGCUUAACCUGGGAACUGCAUUUGUGACUGCAUGGCUAGAAUUUGGCAGAGGGGGGUAGAAUUCCACGUGUAGCAGUGAAAUGCGUAGAUAUGUGGAGGAAUACCGAUGGCGAAGGCAGCCCCCUGGGCUAAGAUUGACGCUCAUGCACGAAAGCGUGGGGAGCAAACAGG
rnacentral:rRNA from 1 species